GGGGGGAGCAAGCGUUGUUCGGAAUCAUUGGGCGUAAAGAGCUCGUAGGCGGCUCCAUAAGUCAGGUGUGAAAUCCAAUGGCUCAACCAUUGUCACGCAUCUGAAACUAUGGAACUUGAGAUCAGGAGAGGAAAGCGGAAUUCCAGGUGUAGCGGUGAAAUGCGUAGAUAUCUGGAGGAACACCGGUGGCGAAGGCGGCUUUCUGGCCUGAUACUGACGCUGAGGAGCGAAAGGCUAGGGGAGCGAACGGGAUUAGAUACCCCGGUAGUCCUAGCCGUAAACCGAUGGGCACUAGGUGUGGGGUAGAUCGACCCUCUCCGUGCCGCAGUUAACGCAUUAAGUGCCCCCGCCUGGGAGUACGACCGCAAGGUUG
rnacentral:rRNA from 1 species